GGCAGCAGGCAUCACCCUCUCCCCUUCUCUCCCCGAUGCAGUGACUCCCAGUGACCAGCUGCAGGAGGAGGAGGAGACAGAUCUGAUCACGGAGGACGCUGCCUGGAAGGUUGUCAUGGAGCAUCUCCAGGGUGGAGGCAAGCUGGGUUCAGGAUGUGGCUGAGCAGAUCCAAUUCCUGCAUCCCAUCUCCCCCAUGUAUUUCACCGCACGGAAGAGCGGGCAGGACACUCUGGAGCCACCCUGCUCCAAAGCAGCCCUGGUGGAGAGGAUUGCAGAGCUGACUGAGGAGCUGCCCUUGGACUCUGCGCUCAGCUCCAUCCUCUCCAGCUCCCAGGUACCCAGGCCUCCCUCUUGGCUCCCCCAGCCCUGUGCUGCUCAGGCCCAGAGCCAGGAGUCCCUGUGCACCCCCAUCCCCGAAGUCACCUCCCAGCUAUGGCCGUUCUCUUUUUUGGCAGAGUGGGGGAUGGUGCCUCUCUCCU